CACAUGGACUGAAUUUCAAGUCUCCAACCAAAAGACUCUCUUGACUGAAGACUUGGGGGACUACUGUUUGUACCAUACUUAGGGCCUCCGUAUUUAGAUCUCGUAUAAAUACUCAGGGGACUCAAAUGUAAUUAUGUAAUAAAAGAAGGGGCAAAUAUGUAAUAAGUGAGGAGCUCUUAGUCUAUAAAAGGGACUCAUCACCCUUACAAUAUGAGGAAGCCUCUCACCCUCACUCUCACCCUUACAAACAGAAGAGCUCUCUGACCCUCAGAAGCUCUCACCCUCUCAUCCUUUCAGAAAUAGAGAAAUACAAUAUCAGUGUAGACGUAGCCCAAACAUUGGGGUGAACCACGAUACAUCUUGUGUUACUUACUUUCUUGUAGAUUCACGGUCGGAUUUACGUUAUUCCAAGACCCAUCCGGUUUUGUGCAUCAACAACGUCUUUGAGCGCGCAUGUAGUGUGACGACCCAUCCCUAAUUUUCCCAUGUAAUUUUUUCCCCAAGUUGGUAAAUUGACAUUUAUGCCCUUGUGGGCAAAGUGACAUGGACAU
rnacentral:lncRNA from 1 species